rnacentral:tRNA from 1 species
UGGGGCGUCGCCAAGUGGUAAGGCAGCGGGUUUUGAUCCCGCCAUCCGUAGGUUCGAAUCCUCCCGCCCCAGCCA